rnacentral:ncRNA from 2 species
AAUCAUCAGAGAUCGAUUGGUUCCCGGGACACGAACGUGUUUCGGGAGUAAACGGGAACGUGACGGAUGGACCCAUGCUGGGCAUUCACAUCACGGCCGACCCCGCGACUGUAGAGCGACGUCGAUCUGCCAUUCCGGAGCGAUCCGGAAGAAGCCACUGGAAGAGACCACGAGAGGGUGGUCGAUCUGGGAAGGCGAGGCUGAUCCAGGGCUUCCCGCCCAGCGCCGUGAGCCAGGAAACCUGCCACUCGAUACGGGCAUAG